AGUGAACGCUGGCGGUAGGCCUAACACAUGCAAGUCGAACGGCAGCACAGUAAGAGCUUGCUCUUACGGGUGGCGAGUGGCGGACGGGUGAGGAAUACAUCGGAAUCUACUUUUUCGUGGGGGAUAACGUAGGGAAACUUACGCUAAUACCGCAUACGACCUACGGGUGAAAGCAGGGGAUCUUCGGACCUUGCGCGAUUGAAUGAGCCGAUGUCGGAUUAGCUAGUUGGCGGGGUAAAGGCCCACCAAGGCGACGAUCCGUAGCUGGUCUGAGAGGAUGAUCAGCCACACUGGAACUGAGACACGGUCCAGACUCCUACGGGAGGCAGCAGUGGGGAAUAUUGGACAAAGGGCGCAAGCCUGAUCCAGCCAUACCGCGUGGGUGAAGAGGGCCUUCGGGUUGUAAAGCCCUUUUGUUGGGAAAGAGAAGCAGCAGGUUAAUACCCCGCUGUUCUGACGGUACCCAAAGAAUAAGCACCGGCUAACUUCGUG
rnacentral:rRNA from 1 species